AACGAACGCUGGCGGCAUGCCUAACACAUGCAAGUCGAACGAGACCUUCGGGUCUAGUGGCGCACGGGUGCGUAACGCGUGGGAAUCUGCUCCUUGGUUCGGAAUAACAGUUAGAAGUGACUGCUAAUACCGGAUCACGACGAAAGUCCAAAGAUUUAUCGACGAGGGAUGAGCCGGCGUAAGAUUAGCUUGUUGGUGAGGUAACGGCUCACCAAGGCGACUAUCUUUAGCUGGGCUGAGAGGAUGAUCAGCCACACUGGGACUGAGAAACGGCCCAGACUCCUACGGGAGGCAGCAGUGGGGAAUAUUGGACAAUGGGCGAAAUCCUGAUCCAGCAAUGCCUCGUGAGUGAUGAAGGCCUUAGGGUUGUAAAGCUCUUUUACCCGGGAUGAUAAUGACAGUACCGGGAGAAUAAGCUCCGGCUAACUCCGUGCCAGCCGCCGCAGUAACAC
rnacentral:rRNA from 1 species